CCUACGGGCGGCAGCAGUGAGGAAUAUUGCACAAUGGGGGAAACCCUGAAGCAGCAACGCCGCGUGGGGGAAGAAGUAUUUCGGUAUGUAAAACCCUAUCAGCAGGGGAGAGAAUGACGGUACCUGACUAAGAAGCCCCGUCUAACUACGUGCAAGCAGCCGCGGUAAUGCGUAGGGAGCAAGCGUUAUCCGGAUUUACUGGGGGUAAAGGGAGCGUAGACGGUUGUGCAAGUCUGAAGUGAAAGCCCGCGGCUCAACUGCGGAACGGCUGUGGAAACUGUGUAACUGGAGUGCUGGAGAGGUAAGCGGAAUUCGUGGUGUAGCGGUGAAAUGCGUAGAGAUCAGGAGGAACACCGGCGGCGAAGGCGGCUUACUGGACAGUAACUGACGUUGAGGCUCGAAAGCGUGGGGAGCAAACAGGAUUAGAUACCCUUGUAGUC
rnacentral:rRNA from 1 species